rnacentral:rRNA from 1 species
GAUGAACGCUGGCGGCGUGCCUAAUACAUGCAAGUCGAGCGAACAGACGAGGAGCUUGCUCCUCUGACGUUAGCGGCGGACGGGUGAGUAACACGUGGAUAACCUACCUAUAAGACUGGGAUAACUUCGGGAAACCGGAGCUAAUACCGGAUAAUAUAUUGAACCGCAUGGUUCAAUAGUGAAAGACGGUUUUGCUGUCACUUAUAGAUGGAUCCGCGCCGCAUUAGCUAGUUGGUAAGGUAACGGCUUACCAAGGCGACGAUGCGUAGCCGACCUGAGAGGGUGAUCGGCCACACUGGAACUGAGACACGGUCCAGACUCCUACGGGAGGCAGCAGUAGGGAAUCUUCCGCAAUGGGCGAAAGCCUGACGGGGCAACGCCGCGUGAGUGAUGAAGGUCUUCGGAUCGUAAAACUCUGUUAUUAGGGAAGAACAAAUGUGUAAGUAACUAUGCACGUCUUGACGGUACCUAAUCAGAAAGCCACGGCUAACUACGUG